CAGUCGCCGCGGGAAUACGUAGGUGGCAAGCGUUGUCCGGAAUUAUUGGGCGUAAAGGGCUCGCAGGCGGUUUCUUAAGUCUGAUGUGAAAGCCCCCGGCUCAACCGGGGAGGGUCAUUGGAAACUGGGAAACUUGAGUGCAGAAGAGGAGAGUGGAAUUCCACGUGUAGCGAUGAAAUGCGUAGAGAUGUGGAGGAACACCAGUGGCGAAGGCGACUCUCUGGUCUGUAACUGACGCUGAGGAGCGAAAGCGUGGGGAGCGAACAGGAUUAGAUACCCCGGUAGUCCCUGUCUCUUAUAC
rnacentral:rRNA from 1 species